rnacentral:lncRNA from 1 species
GUGGAAUGGGAGGUAUUAUGGCUGCCAUCUUUAGAAAUUACAAUUUGCCACAGGUUGUGUUCCCUAGAAGCAGAGGUUGAAAUAGGGGUUCUUUUGUGAGUUAAGGAAGAGGGAGAAGCUAAGCGAGGAUGUAGCUUCAGGUGAAGUCCAGCUUCAACCUGAUCUUGUAGGCAGCACUGGAUCUCACAUUGUCUGCAGCAUUUGUCCUUCCUUGAGGCAAAAAAGUGGGGCUUUUGUACACACAUAUCAGUCAACCCUUAGCUUAGGGAAGCCCCAGGGGAAGGGUUGUAACUCCUAGGUAUCUCGUAGACAGGCAACUCCUCUUGCUUAAAGGCAUUUCCCAGACAAGGCUUGCUCUGUGAGCCUUUAAUAGCAGUUAAUAAAAAGAUUGCCAGAGAUCUGAUUGGGACUGCAACAGCCUCAGCUACAUUAAGAUAUGGGGGCACAUUCAAGGCCUGUUUUAUAGAGACUAGCAGGAUCUGGGGACCCAGUCAGAAGACACUUGGGGUUUAGGGCAGGAAGUCUACUGAUUGCCACGAGCAAAAAAGGAAAUACAUUGGUUCAUGAAAUGAGAAAGUCAAUGGACAGUGCUGACCCAGAUUGGAUCCAGGGCUCAAAGAGCAUCUCCAAGGGACCAUAUAAGAAUCACUAACAUGAGCUGCAUACGCUGGAGGCCCCUCUGCUGUCAUUAUUUUAUGUGCUGGAAAACGCUGCGAUGGGAAGACAGCCCAGUCAGAUGGGGAUGGCCUGGAAUAGGAGCCAGGCCUUCCGGAUGGAUGAAAGCAGAAGCAGUGGCUGGAGCUAGAGCAGCUAUUUAGGACUAUGAGAUGGAAGAAAUGUGGUGACAAUAGCAGAACAAAAAUAUAGAAAUCUUGGGUACUUGAUGACCACGGAGCCGCCAUACAAACUCUGGACUAUAAUUUCCAGAGACUGUUUAUGGAAUGAAGAUACUGUCAUUACCUCUGCAAAGAAUGCAUCCUAGCACAGAUCAAAGAUCUUCCAAGUCCAGCCACACCAUUUUACAGUUCUGAACCUCGACUUAGGAAAGCAGUGGAUCUUUAUACAUUUGACACAUCCCUUCCCUCUAGGGUCUCUGUGGCUAUUGAAAAUGGACUGGAGAAGAUGAGUGGGAGUGAGAAGAGGAUAACAGAAUCAGAUAAAAACCUGUCAUGUUACUAAGAGCAGGAGAUGAGGCAGCCUGGACCAAGAUGGUGGCAGAGAGAAGAAAAUUGCUUGAGAGAAUUGAUUAAACUACUUGGUUAGCACAGAUAGAGCUGAAUCAAAAAUUAGGAUGGUAAGCUAAGUAAUUUUACACACAAAAAGGCAGAGUUGCAUUCAUAAUUAGUCUCUCCUUCAGACUGAAUAUUACAGACAAAAUAUAGCCAUUGGUGUUGCAAUCACUUCCUUUGGGUUUGUAUCCAAGGUUAAGAAUGUCAGCAUCCAAAGACCCAAAUUCUUAAUGUUUUUAGUUGAUAAAGUUUAUUCAAGGUAGACAGCCUGUGUUGAAUAACUUAGUCUUCCACAAAUUUCAAGAAAAAUCCAUUGUCCCUCUUCUCCGCCACAGACACACUUUAGUUGAACAUUAAGCAUAUUUAUUAAAGAAACAUUCUCCUUGUGCUUUUUCUCCCAAGAUGGAUGGUGUUCUUACUUAGAGUUAUAAGUGUCAGAAUAAAAAUGCCCAUGAGGUUGAAUUGUAUGAUGUUAUAGUAAAGUGAGAUAAACAUUCUCAGAAACAUGAUUGUGACUUAAAAAAAAAAAAAACCAACAAACCACUUUCUGUAGAGGAAUUAUGCUUUGGGGACAGAAACUUUCCUUUAUAAUUUUUACAGCUGCACGCAGAUAAAGUGUAUUAAAAAGGCACAACACAUCAAUUAUGAAAACAUGGCUACCCUUUAAGAGAACACAGACUUUUUCCAGAUCCAUCUUAAAUCUCAGGAAUUCUAGAUCGAGACAGGCAUGAAUGCUCCUGUUGCUGAAAUCACUCUGAUUUCCUUCUUGUUAAACACUUCACUCAGCAACAUUAUAGAUUAGCACCAAAAAAGUUGUUUGUAGGUGAAAAACUGUUCAGAAAAGGACACCUUAUUAGGCAGGCUGUCGAUUUACAAAUAAAAGCCGAUUCUGGCUCUCCU